UUCAUUAAUGUUGAUUAUUAAUUUUUUUAAUUCGUGUAUUUGUAUCAUCGUAUUUUAUAAUUUUAAACAAACUAAUAAUUUGAAUUAAGUAGAUUUUGAAAUGUUUUUUUUUUUUUGAGUUUUAUAUAAAAAAAGAAAGAAAAUAUGAAAUAGUUGGCUGACUUGGUUUAUAAUUUUGAUGAUGAGUUUUAUUUUCUAGUUUACGACACGCCAAGCUGACAAAUUGACAUCUUUACCUAGAAUUGCAAGCGAAAAGAACAUGGAAAC
rnacentral:lncRNA from 1 species